GGCUGCUUCUCGCCCGCUGUGUGCUGCGGAGGGCGCUCAGCCGCUGCAGGCGGAGUUUGCACCUCGGGGCCAAGUCGUUAUGCAGUAAUCGGCAUGCGAGAGGUGCCUGAGUACUUGGCUGAGAGGAAAAGUCGGCUUCUCAGCCGCCCCGUCUCUGAAGGUACAGCUGUUAAGUAUGCAACUGCAGUGGACUUGACAAGCUGGAGAAGCCCAGGAGGCAACCUGUGAAGAAAGAGAACAAGCAGUGGGGUUUGUACUGCUCACAGCUGAGUGCAGUCUGUUUCACUUCCAACACCAAAGGUCCAUGUGAGCUGUGCUAGCCCCUGGCUUGCUUUCAGUGGAUUUCUACACAUUUUCAAUGGGCUACCUCUCUGAUCCAACCAAGCAAAAUUGGUGCCAGUUCCAAGCCUAGUCCACUGCUCUUGCCAGGAUGCUGUAGACGAUCUGCCAAUUGGGCUGAAGGCCAGGAGAAAUGGUAAAUGCAAGACUGCAAUGCUCCAUCCUCAGACAAAAAUCAUCAGAUCCCAAGGAAAGUUGCUGAUUUUCUUUAGAUGCUGCAAGAGACUUCAGGAUUCUCUGGAAGGGAGAUAUCGAAGACCAACUUCUCUAUGAAUGUCUCUGCACAACGUAGACAGGAAGAAAGCUAUGAAAGUCUCCUCUCUCUUCACUCUCCUCCUGGCUGCUGCACUUGGCUGAAAUAAGGAUAAAAGCCAACCUUCAUGUGAUAGUAUCAUGAUUAUUAUUAGUCUUGGAUGAUAUCCCACAAUGACAUCA